rnacentral:lncRNA from 1 species
GUGGUGAGGGGGAGGGGAGGGGAUGGAGCAGGGAGGGAGGAGAGGAGGGGGGGCUCUUGUCAGGGCCCCUGGAGUCAACUUGGGAUUUCAGGAAGAACUUCCCCGGGGGGGGCGCCCCUCUCGGUGUCCUUCCUCUCCUCCACCGCCCCCCCCAAAGACAAUGGAAAAAUCUUGUCUAUUUCCCCAGCCCCCCUCCCCUCCCCUCCCCCCCAGGAUGAAUUGGAAGGAGAACUUACCUAGGUGCACGUUACAGAGGUGUCAGAGGGUAACAAGAUUUCAUGGACCUGGAGGUAAAGAACUUUUGAGAAAAGACGUCUCCAUGGGCCUACGGAAGCCUCAGUGGUGAAGUGGUCCUAUUUUUCCCACUUACUACAUUGUCCUCGCUCCUGCCAUCCUGGACUCAUCCAUGUGGGUAACUGCCACGAAGAUAGAUGCCCACUCGCCUUGUGUGGACAGCUCUCAGUUCUGCCCAGUAGGAGGUGCUGCAACGACAGAAGGCCAUUUCUUCUGCUGAAUUUUGAGCUUGGCCUUACCACUCGUGUUCGGCAUCUGGGCCAAAGGAGUGACAGGUUAACAUUCAGCUCAGAGUUCCAGGAGUGCCUUCAGGGGACCAGAGAGCUGAAAGAAAGCUGGCUUUUCUGAAAGUUGCUGCAGUGAGAAGACAUUUAUCAUUUUGAAUAAAGACUGAAGAAACUGUAGAAUUAGCA